GUAGUCCACGCCGUAAACGAUGAGUGCUAAGUGUUAGAGGGUUUCCGCCCUUUAGUGCUGCAGCAAACGCAUUAAGCACUCCGCCUGGGGAGUACGGCCGCAAGGCUGAAACUCAAAGGAAUUGACGGGGGCCCGCACAAGCGGUGGAGCAUGUGGUUUAAUUCGAAGCAACGCGAAGAACCUUACCAGGUCUUGACAUCUCCUGCCAACCCUAGAGAUAGGGCGUUCCCCUUCGGGGGACAGGAUGACAGGUGGUGCAUGGUUGUCGUCAGCUCGUGUCGUGAGAUGUUGGGUUAAGUCCCGCAACGAGCGCAACCCUUGAUCUUAGUUGCCAGCAUUCAGUUGGGCACUCUAAGGUGACUGCCGGUGACAAACCGGAGGAAGGUGGGGAUGACGUCAAAUCAUCAUGCCCCUUAUGACCUGGGCUACACACGUGCUACAAUGGAUGGUACAAAGGGCUGCGAGACCGCGAGGUUGAGCCAAUCCCAUAAAACCAUUCUCAGUUCGGAUUGCAGGCUGCAACUCGCCUGCAUGAAGCCGGAAUCGCUAGUAAUCGCGGAUCAGCAUGCCGCGGUGAAUA
rnacentral:rRNA from 1 species